rnacentral:piRNA from 1 species
UAAUACAGGAGGAGGAGAAAUAGGAGU